AUCCAGUCGACGAGUUGCGAAUAGGACGAAACGCGCGUCCUAGAU
rnacentral:hammerhead_ribozyme from 1 species